rnacentral:rRNA from 1 species
AUUGAACGCUGGCGGCAUGCCUUACACAUGCAAGUCGAACGGUAACGGGCCUUCGGGUGCCGACGAGUGGCGAACGGGUGAGUAAUGCAUCGGAACGUACCUUUCAGUGGGGGAUAACGUAGCGAAAGUUACGCUAAUACCGCAUAGUCUGUGAGCAGGAAAGCAGGGGACCGCAAGACCUUGCGGUGAUUGAGCGGCCGAUGUCCGAUUAGCUAGUUGGUGAGAGAAAGGCUCACCAAGGCGACGAUCUGUAGCGGGUCUGAGAGGAUGAUCCGCCACACUGGAACUGCGACACGGUCCAGACUCCUACGGGAGGCAGCAGUGGGGAAUUUUGGACAAUGGGGGCAACCCUGAUCCAGCCAUGCCGCGUGAGUGAAGAAGGCCUUCGGGUUGUAAAGCUCUUUCGGCCGGGAAGAAAUCGUAUGGGCUAAUACCCUGUGCGGAUGACGGUAUCGGCAUAAGAAGCACCGGCUAACUACGUGCCAGCCGCCGCCGUUAAAA